AGUACAAUUCCUGGAUGGUAUGGUAUGCUUAGUUUUGUAAGGAACUGCCAAAUUGUUUUCCAAAGUGACUGUACCAUUUUGCAUUCCCACCAGCAAU
rnacentral:pre_miRNA from 1 species